GUUUAAUUUCCCAUUAAAUGAAUAAAUCCUUGACUUAAAUACCGUUGCAGAACCAAAAGUAAUUUGUGUAGAAUUCCUCGUAACUUGACGUGAUUAUCAAUCAAAAAUCUAAAAUUCCGAAGAGGUUGGUGUUGCUUCACUUUCUCGGCCACAAAACAACAUCACAAAAGUGAAACUUUUAUGUACUAUUUGGCGAUUACAAGACAAUUACGUGUACUUUCGGUUUCGGGUUCACGCUUACUGAUCGCAUUAGAAUUUUAGCUUGUUCAAUCUGUUUCCAGCAAGCUUGUUUGUACAUGAUUCUCAAAGACGAUAUGGCACUGAGGUAUUGUUCAACCAUUAGUGAUUAAUCACACUUGUUUCCUGGAGGGCCAACAAAGAAACUUAAUGGUCUCAAUAAACGCAACCUUGAAUCUUUGUAUAUUUUAACAAUAGUAUGACUAAAAGGAAUUAUGGUUGCUGUAAAAAUGUCGUUACGUCAAAGGUAAUAAAAUAACCUUUAUUUAAUUUAAAACUAGGACUAAUAAGUUGCCUACAUAGUGUAUUAUUUUGUUUUGUUCGAAUAUUAAUUAUUUAUACUAACCAAUUUUUACAAAUUAAUUAUACAAAACGAACAAAAAUACAUUUUUAAAUCAAAAGAAUAUGAAUCUCAGGGAAAACAAAAUAAAUCUAAACAUAAAAGUUAGCCUAAAUAAAUAAGUCUGUGCAAGAAAGAGGUAACUCGUUUAGAAGAGUGUUGUAGACAAAGCUUAUACGAGUUUGUUUUAAGAGAGUUUUUUAAGUUUGAUUUUUAAUCGCGAUGGUUAUAAAAAUUAAAGAGUUCAGAAUGGUUUAAACGAGGAACAGGUAUACGAUUAAGUACAAGAAAGUCUGACAUGUCCGUUAAAAAUGGUUGGCUGACCUUGAUCUUGAGGGAUGAGUAUUCUUCGGUAUUAGAAGUUUAGGAAUCUCGGGAAAUUUAGUUCUUGGGUCCUUCGGGAACAGGAUGGAAAAUUGGACUCGAACUCAGAUUCGACAACGCUUGGCUCUAGCUAAAUUUGAACUCUUCUCGGUGUCAAUUUGCGCGGCCUUAUAUACCCUUUUUGGACAAAGGCAUCUUGGAUAUCCAAAUUUGUUUAAAUCUGGGCUCUCUGAUUGGUCGAUUAAGUGGCGGGAAUUAUAAAUUACACAGAUAAACGCGCUUUCGGGUGUCAAUUUCCUUCGAGAAAGUCGUAAUUUGAUGUUGAAGUUUGGAAAUGAAAAAUUGGAAUUUAGAUAUAAAAAAUGAUACCGAAAUGGAUGAAAUUGCGGCCUAUGGGUUAAAUCGAUACAAUUUAUCGAUCUCGCAUGGUUUUAGAAUCUAAAAUCGUUUGAAAAGUAGCCAAAAUCAAUACCUGUCAAAAAUGUAAAUGACAAGGUCAAAUUUGAAGGUCAAUGAAUUACCUUUUUCUUGCACAUUGCCCUAAUUUUUCUUAAAUCUAAACGAAAAUCAUAACAAAACGUAACUACUUAGCCUAAUCCAUAAUACUAAAUUUCUUAAAUUUAAUUAGUCUUUUUUCUGUUUCUUCGGAAACACGGAUUUUAUUACAAUAGAUAGUAAAUAAUCCAUUUUUGUAAAUUUCACGCAAGAAAUUGAUUUUAUAGAUACCGUAAUCAGCUUUCUACGAACAUAAUCAUAAGAAAGAUUAUGAUAAUUAACUUUUGAAAAGCGUUUUAUGGUUCGAAAGGUGGAAUGUGUAUGGAUGGAAAAACAUGAAAGAAACGAAGAGGCAUUUAAAAAAACGGAAAGCGAAAAAUGCGAGAUCAAUUAACACGGUUCGAUAUGAACGCAAAAGAAAGCGUGAACACCUCUUUUAAACAUUUAGUAUUUUAAUCAAGUGUUUAUAAAAUGAUUGAUGAACGAAUUUGAAAUGACCGAUAUUUAUUGUUUAUGGUUGUAUCUCAGUUUCUAUUUAAAAAAAAUUAAAGUUAUUUGAAAUAGUAAAUGAGAAUGUGUUGUUAAAAAAAACUGGAUUUCGUGUGUUUAAAUUCCUGAAUAGUAAUGAAGCUCGACAGGCGGGCGUGUUGGUUGAAAUUGCACUAUCUGUGGCCUACUCAAAAACCAUUCUUUGAGAGUUUAAUUACGUGCAAGAUUUCACGAGAGGUGCGGCUUAACCUGGUCAAACCUGAUCGAACUGUCCAUCGAACGUGAGCUCACGUGCCAACGUUAUGACGGUUGAUUGUACUUUCAAUUCACAUGUGACCGAUUGAAAAUUGAUGAAUCAGAUACAAAAACACAUUUUGUGAUUCAUUUACUUUAACAUUUUUAUUACGUUUAUUAAGUUUAACGUAUAAGCCGCUUUCACCACAUAAACUAAAUUGUUAAAACCUAAACCUGGCAGUUGAAUACAAUCAUUAAUAAACACCUGUGUUGUCUCGGUUAAUAUAUUCAGCUAUGCGAGUGAUUCCUUGCAUAGUGUAUAUGCAAAUGAUCUUCACGGAUACACCGUGUCCCGAUUUCUCAUCAAAAUACCAUUAAAAGCUGGGUUUGUGGGUAGAUUCCGCGUGUGCCGCCAAGGUCCCCACAAAGAUUCUUAGCGUCGAUAGUUUCGCCAGCACCUUAUGAUUACCGUCAAUACAUGAAUAAAGUGCUGUCAAUUAAGUAUGAGUAAGUACGAGUACGAAACAAUCGUGCUGACAACAUCUAUAACAACUUAAACCGUUUAAAGCAAACGUGUAAUUGGUUGUGGAGAAAGGGCUCCUUUUAUUUCAAUCGAUGCAGCAUCAGUUUUAACCCGUUACGCCAACACAAACAUAUGAUUCGGUCCAUUCAUGUAGUGAGCGUUUUUUAACCAAAUAAUAACGAAAUUCCGGGCAAGUAGAGGUCAAGCCGUGAAAUCCAUUGGUAAAAUACGAUACAGCAAACUAAACAGUUUUACGUUAUCGUUAAUCCGUCAACUUUCUAAAUCCGCAAUCCUGGUCGCGCCAAAUAGCAUCAUCCGAUUGAUCGUUUUGUAGAAUCGUUCAGCUUUUUAUGGAAAACGGGACCAACGAAGAGGAAGAAAUCAGAUCAUUAGAUAAAAACACUUCAAGAGAAGAAAAUCUAACAAGUCCACUUUUUUGUUGGUAAUUAACUGUUUAAAGUUAACUAUCAUUUUCUUCAUUUCAAGUGAAGUUUCUGAGUGUAAUUUCUACUUUCUUUGAGAAUGAUUUCUAAUCUUAACUAACUUUUUUGUGAUUUUUUUCUACUUGGACUUCGGGGAUUCGAAAGAAACCUCACACAAGACCAGGCGAG